rnacentral:rRNA from 1 species
UACGGGGGGGGCAAGCGUUGUUCGGAAUUACUGGGCGUAAAGGGUCUGUAGGUGGCCAACUAAGUCAGACGUGAAAUCCCUCAGCUUAACUGGGGAACUGCGUCUGAUACUGGAUGGCUUGAGUGUGGGAGAGGAAUGCGGAAUUCCAGGUGUAGCGGUGAAAUGCGUAGAUAUCUGGAGGAACACCGGUGGCGAAGGCGGCAUUCUGGACCAUAACUGACACUGAGAGACGAAAGCCAGGGGAGCAAACGGG